rnacentral:rRNA from 1 species
AACGAACGCUGGCGGCAGGCUUAACACAUGCAAGUCGAACGCCCCGCAAGGGGAGUGGCAGACGGGUGAGUAACGCGUGGGAACAUACCCUUUCCUGCGGAAUAGCUCCGGGAAACUGGAAUUAAUACCGCAUACGCCCUACGGGGGAAAGAUUUAUCGGGGAAGGAUUGGCCCGCGUUGGAUUAGCUAGUUGGUGGGGUAAAGGCCUACCAAGGCGACAAUCCAUAGCUGGUCUGAGAGGAUGAUCAGCCACAUUGGGACUGAGACACGGCCCAAACUCCUACGGGAGGCAGCAGUGGGGAAUAUUGGACAAUGGGCGCAAGCCUGAUCCAGCCAUGCCGCGUGAGUGAUGAAGGCCUUAGGGUUGUAAAGCUCUUUCACCGAUGAAGAUAAUGACGGUAGUCGGAGAAGAAGCCCCGGCUAACUUCGUG